ensembl:miRNA aca-mir-5414 aca-mir-5414
UGCACGGAUGGGGGAAACCUGUGACUCAAGGACUACAUAUCCCCCAUAAGUCUGGUUCUUGUCCUGGGCUCCCCCCGUAUG